GCUUCUUCGGAAGUCAGUGGCAGACGGGUGAGUAACACGUGGGAACGUGCCCUUCGGUUCGGAAUAACUCAGGGAAACUUGAGCUAAUACCGGAUACGCCCUUAUGGGGAAAGGUUUACUGCCGAAGGAUCGGCCCGCGUCUGAUUAGCUUGUUGGUGGGGUAACGGCCUACCAAGGCGACGAUCAGUAGCUGGUCUGAGAGGAUGAUCAGCCACACUGGGACUGAGACACGGCCCAGACUCCUACGGGAGGCAGCAGUGGGGAAUAUUGGACAAUGGGCGCAAGCCUGAUCCAGCCAUGCCGCGUGAGUGAUGAAGGCCUUAGGGUUGUAAAGCUCUUUUGUCCGGGACGAUAAUGACGGUACCGGAAGAAUAAGCCCCGGCUAACUUCGUGCCAGCAGCCGCGGUAAUACGAAGGGGGCUAGCGUUGCUCGGAAUCACUGGGCGUAAAGGGCGCGUAGGCGGCCGAUUAAGUCGGGGGUGAAAGCCUGUGGCUCAACCACAGAAUUGCCUUCGAUACUGGUUGGCUUGAGACCGGAAGAGGACAGCGGAACUGCGAGUGUAGAGGUGAAAUUCGUAGAUAUUCGCAAGAACACCAGUGGCGAAGGCGGCUGUCUG
rnacentral:rRNA from 1 species